CACUUGUAAACGCCCCAGUCGAUAGUGUCAACAUCUAAUGGGAACCCGCCGUAGAUUAUUUGAAUUUAAAAUUGAUGUACUAUUAUGAUAAGUACGGUAACGUUAUAAAUUUAUUCUGGUGUAAUAUAUUACUUGAAAGAACAGUCUUAGUGUAUACUUGUAAACGCCCAAGCGAUAGCGUAAACAUCUAAUGGGAACCAUUUAACUUACAACCAUGGCAUAUUUGAACUUAAAACUGUUGAUUAGUUUAGUCACCAUAUUAUUAUCUGUGUGUUGUGCGAAAUAUACAGAGCCCAAAGUUUAUAAUACUCCAAUAUUUAAUUAUAAAUGUUUGCAAGCAGAAAUUAGAUGUAUUCACAGGGAAACGUUUAUACUCGAAGCCAUUACACAAUAUAAUCUGGGAUUUCUCUCAACUUAUGAUGUUAAACUGGCUUGCACAGAAUUAAGGACAGGUGAUGGAUGUAUUAAAGAAUCUGGAUGUAAGAAAGAAUUAGCACCAAAGAUUAGAUUGAUGAAAUGGAUCUGUAGAAACAGGAGGGAAUUAUUUGCUGGGGUAAAAUGCUGGAGAAGUCCCCAAUUCAAGGAGGAUGCUCCAAUUUGUGACAAAAAGAUUCAAAGAAGUUGCCAUUACCAUAAACUUGUUGGAACGUGUCUAAAAUCGGUAAUUGGUAAAAACAAAAGUUGCACCUCUAGACAGAUGCAUUUUUAUGGGGGAUUGUUGGAGGCCAUUGAUAGAAUUAAAAGUCCAGAUGGAAGAUGUAAUUACUCAAAGAACAAUUAUGGCAAAUAAAAGAUUGGAACAUGUUUUAAUGUUUUCACUUUGUUGUAUUUUACAAAAUGUUAUAGAAUAAAAUUUGUUUUAAACAA